AAAACCUUAUUCAUAAACGCACAUUAACGCUAAACAGUGCAUCAUCUCUUGUGUAAAUCCUCGAAAUUUUAAAAUGAGCCCGACCCUAGUUUAACGGGAUUUUAGCGCAAAAAUCCAAGAUGGCCGCCUCACAUCAGCUGGCUUUUGACAGCAACUCAUGAACUGAUAUGAACCUCUGAGACGAGUGUUUGUUGCCUGUUCUUACAUUUUCUCAGAAAAAUGUAUUAUGUGUAAUUAAAUUGACAAGCUAAAAUUAUUAUUAAGUGGCGCAAAACCAAAGUAAUAUGUGUUGUGUGAAAUGCGGGCUACUUAUAUACCUAAACUGAAGGAUGUAACAGACUUUUGAUCGUGUCGAAGAAAAAGUGCAUUAUAUAGGGAACGAGUUCAGAGGCGAGGUGGCAGAAAUAGGUAAAAAUGUUGUCUGGCAGUAAUGAAACUUUUAAUGAAGCGAUGCAACCUAUGCUGGCAUGUUACUGGAAAAGUUGUGUCCAAUUUGGCCAUCAAGUGAAGAAAAGUCAUCACAGUUUGCUGCCUCCCUCUGCUGCUGCUGCUCGGUCCCAAGCUGAAGAUGGAAUUGUCAGAAUCUGAAAAAGACACAUCAGACAUAAAUAAAAUAUUUUUAAUGAACAUGUUUUUCUUUAAUUUUUAGCUAUUAUGUGAUAGUCAUAAUUUUAACGGAUAGAUUGUACAAUGCAAUUUCAUUUAAUAGGUUCUCUGACUAAUUAAUACUAUCAUGAGAACUCAUUGUACAUAGUUUUAUAUCAAAAUAGGAAUAGUAUCAUUUUGAAAUGGUACAUAAGCAAUAGAGAACUGCAAUGGCUAGGCUACUCUUUGUUUGAGAGUUUGAAAUAACUAGUAAGUAAAUUUAUGUAAAAAGAAACACAAAGUUUUACAUGACAUGAUGACACAGGCAAUGUCUGGUAGACAAGUGUCCAAACUAGGGUUAUAGGAGUGUCAUACUCCACAGUACAGAAGACAAUCUUAUUAACACUCUUUAUAGCAAAAUAACACAGGUAACCUAAUUACAUUUUAGUUUUGUUCACGACUAAACUACAUCAAGACACGUAUAUACCUACUAGCUUUUGCCGGCGGCUUCGCUCGCGUUAGAAAGAGACAAAAAGUUACGUAUGUCAUUCUCCAUCCCUUCACCUAUUUCCACAAUCACGUCAAUUUGUCUCCGUUUUGCCGUGAAAGACAAAAUAACCACAAGCAGGUUUGAUUUAUUACUAUUAGAGUAGGUAUCGGUAUCCUUCAACUCAAGUUCAUACUUAAACAUGACUGACAAGUGACACUACUCUCACCGUUAUAACAGUGUAUAUUAAGAAAUAAAUAUACAAAACGGUGU